AGCAUAUCAAUAAGCGGAGGAAAAGAAACCAAUAGGGAUUGCCUUAGUAACGGCGAGUGAAGUGGCAAAAGCUCAGAUUUGAAAGCUGGUACUAUUAGUAUUAUGCAUUGUAAUCUGUAGAGGAGUGUUUGGAUAUGGCUCUGGCUUAAGUUCCUUGGAACAGGGCAUCAUGGAGGGUGAGAAUCCCGUGAAUAGCCUUUGUCCUAUAUCUAUAUGAACCUCCUUCAAUGAGUCGAGUUGUUUGGGAAUGCAGCUCUAAAUGGGUGGUAUAUUUCAUCUAAAGCUAAAUACUAGCAGGAGACCGAUAGCGUACAAGUAGAGUGAUCGAAAGAUGAAAAGAACUUUGGAAAGAGAGUUAAAUAGUACGUGAAAUUGUUGAAAUGGAAGCACUUGUGCUCAGACGUGCUUAUAGCUGUUCAGCCAUUAUUGUUAAUGGUGUAUUCAGUUGUAGGCAGGCCAGCAUCAGUCAAAGUGGCAGGAAAAAGGUAUAGGGAAUGUGACUCCUUUAGGAGUGUUAUAGUCCUAUAUGUAAUACUGCCUCUCUGACUGAGGACCGCGCUUUAGUGAGGAUGUUGGCUUAAUGGGUACAAGUGACCCGUCUUGAAACACGGACCAAGGAGUCUAACAGCUGUGCAAGUAUUUGAGUAAAAAACUCUUAUGCAAAAUGAAAGUAAUAUAGGUGGGAACUGUAAGGUGCACCAUCGACCGAUCCUGAUGUCUUCAGAUGGAUUUGAGUAGGAGCAUAGCUGUUGGGACCCGAAAGAUGGUGAACUAUGCCUGAAUAGGGUGAAGCCAGAGGAAACUCUGGUGGAGGCUCGCAGCGGUUCUGACGUGCAAAUCGAUCGUCAAAUUUGGGUAUAGGGGCGAAAGACUAAUCGAACCAUCUAGUAGCUGGUUCCGGCCGAAGUUUCCCUCAGG
rnacentral:rRNA from 1 species